ensembl:lncRNA USP34-DT USP34 divergent transcript
GGGAGUCCGGGUGAGUAGGAGAAGAUGGCGGAGGCAACGGACGGGUCGCGGUUGCGUGGCGUCGCCCACCACGACCCACUCCACGGGCUCUGAGGCCCGGGGAGCGCCAGGUCACUCGCUCCGUCCUGUCCCCCGCCCCUGGGCUUCGCCAUUUUUCCCCAGGGCCUGGGUCGGGGAGUUGGUGCGGGUUUCUUUGGUGUCCCCGGCCUCUUCCGCGCUUAGGCUUUUGGGGUACGGGAAGCAAGGAGUCAACUUGGGUGCCGGGCCGGGUCUACGCCGUAGCCCUCUUUCGGGCGCAAGGGCCACUCCCCCCGGGGUCUGAGAGUGAAUCAGCCCAGGGCCCGGCUUAACUGCAUCGGUGAUUAUCGCUACCCUGCAGUUCCUUGAAGGUCCUCCGUCCUGGAGCAGUAAGAUCCUUGACGUAACUAGAAAUGGCAGGAUGAAGUUUCACUCUUGUCACCCAGGUUGGAGUGCAAUGACGUGAUCUCGGCUCACCGCAACCUUUGCCUCGUGGGUUCAAGCAAUUCUCUUGCCUCAGCCUCUCAAGUAGCUGCGAAUACAGCUGUGCGCCACCACGCCUGGCUAAUUUUUGUAUUAUUAGUAGAGACGGGGGUUUCACCAUGUUGGCCGUGCUAGUCUCAAACUCCCGACAUCAGGUGACCCACCCACCUUGGCCUCCCAAAGUGCUGGGAUUACAGGCAUGAGCAACUGCGCCCAGCCUAGACGGAGUCUCGCUCUGUCACCCAAGCUGGAAUGCCGUGGCGCAAUCUUAGUUCACUGCAACCUCUGCCUCCUCGGUCCAAGCCAUUCUCCUGCCUCAGCCUCCCGAAUAGGUGGGAUUGCAAUCACAUGCCACCAUGCCCAGUAUUUUUAUUGUAUCUUUUAUUUUUUUAUGGUAUUUUUAGUACAGACAGUUUCACCAUGGUGGCCAGGCUGUUCUCGAACUCCUGACCUCAUAAUCUCCCCGCCUCGACCUCCCAAAGUGCUGGGAUUAUAGGCGUGAGGCCCUGUGCCCAGCUGGCACUUAACAUUUAAAUCGUAUUAAAUUCUUACCAGCAGUAUGUGAAGUGUCUGUCACAACAGAAAAGAUAUGCUGGAGAAUAUCACAAAAAUAAGUUUGAUAAAAACUCUGAGCUGCAGCUUCUUCUUGUGCAACAUUUUGUAAGAGUGUAAAAAGUAUCUGUAAGCCUAAAAGACAUAGAAUACCAAUGGAAAGUUACUACAGACUGACAGCACUCAUGAUAGUAUUUAGCUCUUAUCAAAGUAUUCUGAAUCUAACCCUGUUCUCCCUUUUUUUUGGGAUGAUGACUAAUAAUUACUUGCAUAAGGUUUCUUAAAUUAAUAAUGGAAUACAACUAUAUCCAAUGCUGGCUUACUUAUAAAUUAUAAUAAGUUGUGUGAGAGCUAAACUGUGAAGAUGUAAAGGCAUAAAGAUCAUAUAAUGGACUUUGGGGACUUGUGGGGAAGGGCAGGAGUGGGUGAGGGAUAAGACUACACAUAAGGUGGAGUUCAUACACAUGAGGGAUAAGACUACACAUAAAGUAGAGUUCAUACUGCUCACAUGACAGGUGCACCAAAAUCUCAGAAAUCACCACUGAAGAACUUAUUCAUGUAACCAAAAACCACCUGUUCCCCAAAAACUAUUGAAAUAAAAAAAGAACCUCAUGAAUAUUUUUUAAAAGCCUAUGGGAAAAAAAUUACAAUCUAAGUUAUGACUAUUACCACCCUUUCACCAUUUCUGAAAGCUCAGCUGAUUCUAUAUGAACUUCUACAACAUCACUACCCAGUAGAACUUUGUAUUACGCAAACCAAUUAUUACUAGGCCGCUCUCCCCAUAACUCAAUUCUGCCUAUGGACUCACUUGGAGUGGAGUGGAACAGUUGAUUAAACUGCUUAUAGGAUUUUCUCAGAUGUUCAUAUAUGUAAUUCACACACUCAAAACUCUGAACAAGUAAUACCUUCCUAUGUACAAUUAACUAUAUUUGUAUUUUUGGAUUGGCAGGCAAAUGAAUAAAAGAACAUCUUUUAUUUA